GAGUGCGUAGGUGGUUACCUAAGCGCAAGGUUUAAUUUAGAGGCUCAACCUCUACUUGCCUUGCGAACUGGGCUACUUGAGUGCAGGAGGGGAAAGCGGAAUUCCUAGUGUAGCGGUGAAAUGCGUAGAUAUUAGGAGGAACACCAGCGGCGAAGGCGGCUUUCUGGACUGUAACUGACACUGAGGCACGAAAGCGUGGGUAGCAAACAGGAUUAGAUACCCUGGCAGUCCACGCCGUAAACGAUGAGCACUAGGUGUUGGGCCCGUUAGGGCUCAGUGCCGCAGUUAACGCAAUAAGUGCUCCGCCUGGGGAGUACGCUCGCAAGAGUAAAACUCGAAGGAAUUGACGGGGACCCGCACAAGCAGCGGAGCAUGUGGUUUAAUUCGAAGCAACGCGAAGAACCUUACCAGGGCUUGACAUCCUGCUGACAGGACCUUAACCGGUCCCUUCUUCGGACAGCAGAGACAGGUGGUGCAUGGUUGUCGUCAGCUCGUGUCGUGAG
rnacentral:rRNA from 1 species